AAAUUGAAGAGUUUGAUCAUGGCUCAGAUUGAACGCUGGCGGCAGGCCUAACACAUGCAAGUCGAACGGUAACAGGAAUCAGCUUGCUGAUUUGCUGACGAGUGGCGGACGGGUGAGUAAUGUCUGGGAAACUGCCUGAUGGAGGGGGAUAACUACUGGAAACGGUAGCUAAUACCGCAUAACGUCGCAAGACCAAAGAGGGGGACCUUCGGGCCUCUUGCCAUCGGAUGUGCCCAGAUGGGAUUAGCUAGUAGGUGGGGUAAAGGCUCACCUAGGCGACGAUCCCUAGCUGGUCUGAGAGGAUGACCAGCCACACUGGAACUGAGACACGGUCCAGACUCCUACGGGAGGCAGCAGUGGGGAA
rnacentral:rRNA from 1 species